rnacentral:rRNA from 1 species
UACGAAGGGGGCUAGCGUUGUUCGGAAUCACUGGGCGUAAAGGGCGCGUAGGCGGCUUGAUAAGUCGGGGGUGAAAGCCUGUGGCUCAACCACAGAAUUGCCUUCGAUACUGUCGAGCUUGAGACCGGAAGAGGUAAGUGGAACUGCGAGUGUAGAGGUGAAAUUCGUAGAUAUUCGCAAGAACACCAGUGGCGAAGGCGGCUCACUGGCCCGGUACUGACGCUGAGGCACGAAAGCGUGGGGAGCAAACAGG